rnacentral:rRNA from 1 species
ACACGUAGGGGGCGAGCGUUGUCCGGAAUUACUGGGCGUAAAGCGCGCGCAGGCGGCUUGGUAAGCAGAGGGUGAAAUCACGGGGCUCAACUCCGUGGCUGCUCUCUGAACUGCCAGGCUAGAGUGCGGGAGAGGGCAGUGGAAUUGCUGGUGUAGCGGUGGAAUGCGUAAAUAUCAGCAAGAACGCCAGUGGCGAAGGCUGCUGCCUGGAACGAUACUGACGCUGAGGCGCGAAAGCUAGGGGAGCAAACGGGAUUAGAUACCCCGGUAGUCCUAGCCGUAAACGAUGGACACUAGGUGUUGGGAGCAUCGACCCUCCCAGUGCUGUUAUGCUAACGCGUUAAGUGUCCCGCCUGGGGAGUACGGCCGCAAGGUUGAA